rnacentral:rRNA from 1 species
AGAGAUGUGUGAUGACGCAUAUCAAUAAGCGGAGGAAAAGAAACUAACAUAGGAUUCCCUCAGUAACGGCGAGUGAAGCGGGAAGAGCUCAAAUUUGAAAUCUUCGAGGUUCUACCUUGACGAAUUGUAGUUUAUAGAAGUGUUUUCUGUUAGUAGGAGUGGCAAAAGUUCUUUGGAAUAGGACAUCAUAGAGGGUGAGAAUCCCGUAUUUGGUCAUUCUUCCCUAGCGUUGUGAUACACUUUCAACGAGUCGGAUUGUUUGGGAAUGCAGUCCAAAAUGGGUGGUAAAUUUCAUCUAAAGCUAAAUAUUGGCGAGAGACCGAUAGCGAACAAGUACCGUGAGGGAAAGAUGAAAAGAACUUUGAAAAGAGAGUUAAACAGUACGUGAAAUUGUCAAAAGGGAAGCGUUUGACACCAGUGUUGUUUUUCCGAAAAUCAAUUACGAAUGUUUUGUUUUUAAGAAGUUAUGACUUCAUCGGCUUGCUUCUUUCUUUACGAAACUUUCUUAAUGCACUUUUCGGUUAACAAGUCAACAUCAAUUUCUUUUGUUGUAAAAGGGUACUGAGGAAGGUGGCUUUCUUUUCGGAGAAAGUGUUUAUAGCCUUGUACCUCUGCAAUCGGAGAGAUUGAGGUCUGCUAGCGUAGAUCCUUCGGGGUUAGAUACAUUUGUGCUAAGUUAUAGCUUUUCAUAGACAACUUGUUGACUAUGUUAAGUCUUGUAGCUUACUCGCUUAUGCUAUUUUACCUACGCUUAGGAUGUUGAUAGUCACAGCGUGUAC